CACGUAGGGGGCGAGCGUUGUCCGGAAUUACUGGGCGUAAAGGGCGCGCAGGCUGUUAUGCGAGUCUGCUGUGAAAUGUACCGGCUCAACCGGUGCCUUGCGGCGGAUACUGCAUAGCUGGAGUACUGGAGAGGGAAGUGGAAUUCCCGGUGUAGCGGUGAAAUGCUUUGAUAUCGCAAGGAACACCGGCGGCGAAGGCGGCUUACUGGGCUUCAACUGACGCUUAAGCGCGAAAGCUAGGGUAGCGAACGGGAUUAGAUACCCCCGUAGU
rnacentral:rRNA from 1 species